rnacentral:tRNA from 1 species
CCAUGAGGUUGGGAAGGGCGAAGCGCAGCAGCUCUUCCACGGCUUCCGGCAACAGGUCGUGGUCGGCGCGCAGUUGUUCAGCCUGCUCCUGGUGGAC